rnacentral:rRNA from 1 species
AGAGCGAACGCUGGCGGCAGGCCUAACACAUGCAAGUCGAACGGACCCUUCGGGGUUAGUGGCGGACGGGUGAGUAACACGUGGGAACGUGCCUUUUGGUUCGGAAUAGCUCCUGGAAACGGGUGGUAAUGCCGAAUGUGCCCUUCGGGGGAAAGAUUUAUCGCCAUUAGAGCGGCCCGCGUCUGAUUAGCUAGUUGGUGAGGUAAUGGCUCACCAAGGCGACGAUCAGUAGCUGGUCUGAGAGGAUGACCAGCCACAUUGGGACUGAGACACGGCCCAAACUCCUACGGGAGGCAGCAGUGGGGAAUCUUGCGCAAUGGGCGAAAGCCUGACGCAGCCAUGCCGCGUGAAUGAUGAAGGUCUUAGGAUUGUAAAAUUCUUUCACCGGGACGAUAAUGACGGUACCCGGAGAAGAAGCCCCGGCUAACUUCGUGCCAGCAGCCG